UCGAGCCCAGUGCGGACCUUUCUUCAGCCUCUGUGCGACCGAGCCGCGCGCCAGGCUCCUGUGCGAGGAGGACGCGCUGACUCCCUCCGACCUGGGCUCCGAUGGAGCAGAAAUAGCGGGACCUGGACUUGUGGCGCGCCUGGUGCCACAUCUCGGGCUCUGCGAGCGUCCUGGCGCGGGAUCCUGCCGUGAGAAGGAGUUGGGGCGGGGGACCCGGCGGGGCAUUGCGGGAGAAGGCCUGGGAUCCCUGGGAGCCUUGUAGCGUGGGGGAGUUCACUGUGUAGAGAGGUUUCAUGUCUUCAUCUAUAUAGUCACUUAUUUGUCUUAAAGUUCUCGAAAUUCCCUCUUAGAGAAGGAGAAAGUUAGAGAACUGGAGGCUGCGUACCCUGAUUACGCAGAAGGGAAGCAGCCUCGCAUUCCCCGGGGCAGGCCCCCGCCCGCGCGUCCCGCCAGUAGGGGAAUUUAGCGGACGGCUGCGGUUGUCUGGUGAAAGGCUAUCCAAGGAUAAGGGGCUUCACUUUUCCCAAGUAGGGGAAAGAGAAGGGGUCUACAGGGCUAGGGGUGGAGGGAGCGGAUGCAGUGAGCAGCCUCCGCAGAGAAAUUGACAAUUUAACCAGGGACCUGCGGCAGAGACAAGGCGGAGACACUCCCUUGCCCAGGAAAGCCGCCAGAGUCCGGCUUGUACCUGGGGAAGAAUCCUUAAGACGGUCUGGCCCAACACUCCUUUGCUCACAGAGAAAGGGGAGAAGACUCCCGAGGGUGAAAAUGGUACAUUCGGAGCUGGAACUCAGCUCGCUGACCCCAAGCAGUGUUCCCUUCUUUUCGCCAGGUUUGCAUCCAAGAGAGGGGAGGACAGGGGCAAAAGGAUGCAGGGAGGCUGCUGAUUUCCACUGAAGAGCUAAUUUCCUGUGAGACAUUAACAGUGAUUUAAGAAAAAGAUUCCUGUAACUGUAAUGUCUUACAAUAACAGAAUGCAGGAGAGCACAUAUCAAUGAAGAAAAGACAAAAUGUACUUAUCCAUGAAGCUGAGGUUAAGAAACCAGUGUCUUCAAGAGCCAGGGACAGCACUGGGUCUGUGCAGAGUUGAGAGAUGGUGAUGACAUGUGACAGAGCUCCUUGCUGCUCAAAUUUUAUGCCAGAUAAAAUAUUCACCUUCUCGGACUCCCUGGCACCAGGCAUGGCCAUGUAAUGUAAGUG
rnacentral:lncRNA from 10 species